rnacentral:SRP_RNA from 1 species
GCCAGGCGUGGUGGUGGACGCCUGUAAUCCCAGUUACUUGGGAGGCUGAGGCAGACAAUCGCUUGAACCCAGGAGGCAGAGGUUGCAGUGAGCCGAGAUCAUGCCAUUGCACUCUAACCUGGGUGACAAAGCGAGACUCUGUCUCAA